AAAAAUAGGUCUCAGUUCGGACUGUAGGCUGCAACUCGCCUACACGAAGUUGGAAUUGCUAGUAAUCGUGGAUCAGCAUGCCACGGUGAAUACGUUCCCGGGUCUUGUACACACCGCCCGUCACACCAUGGGAGCUGGUAACACCCGAAGUCAGUAGUCUAACCGCAAGGAGGACGCUGCCGAAGGUGGGAUUAGCGACUGGGGUGAAGUCGUAACAAGGUACC
rnacentral:rRNA from 1 species